AACGAACGCUGGCGGCAUGCCUAACACAUGCAAGUCGAACGAGACCUUCGGGUCUAGUGGCGCACGGGUGCGUAACGCGUGGGAACCUGCCCUUAGGUUCGGAAUAACUCCCCGAAAGGGGUGCUAAUACCGGAUAAUGUCUUCGGACCAAAGAUUUAUCGCCUUUGGAUGGGCCGGCGUUGGAUUAGCUAGUUGGUAGGGUAAAAGCCUACCAAGGCGACGAUCCAUAGCUGGUCUGAGAGGAUGAUCAGCCACACUGGGACUGAGACACGGCCCAGACUCCUACGGGAGGCAGCAGUGGGGAAUAUUGGACAAUGGGCGAAAGCGUGAUCCAGCAAUGCCGCGUGAGUGAUGAAGGCCUUAGGGUUGUAAAGCUCUUUUAUCCGGGAUGAUAAUGACAGUACCGGGAGAAUAAGCUCCGGCUAACUCCGUG
rnacentral:rRNA from 1 species